AACUAACACCCAAUCAUAAACUCUGAAAUCUGUCCAGUCAGCUGUCCAUUUUAUCUCCUGCCCUCGGUUGACGAUUUCACUCUUUUAGGAAAGCUAGUUCUCUCAAAACGUUGUCAUUUAUUUAAGCUUCCCUUUUUCAAAAACUUUCCUCCGAAAAACCAUUCUUCAAUCUGCUUCACGCACCCAUUCAAGCUGCAUUUGGUUCUCAGCGUACUCCGGGACUCUCCUUUCUAGACUGCUUUUCGGCAUGCAACUGCUUCAGCGACAAAGGCGGAGGCGACCCCAUGAUGGGUUUCUGAACAGGACAAGAUAACUAACUCUUCUUCAUUUCUGACUAUGAUUCCUAAGGCUGAAAAAUUAUUUUUUCCAUCAUACGUGCCAUCGAAGUUGAUCUUGAUGAACUCCCGAGAGUACAGAGCAGAAAAUGCGACAUUAACGAGGGGUAAGCUGUUCAAAUACCCAGGUAA